GCGGCAUCGUCCGACCUGUGUGCCGUAGACAUGAACAAGGUGCAAGUCCUCCUGAGUCUUCUCGUCAUCAUUCUCCCUCACCAUGCUGACGCAAUCAUGUGCGCAUGCGCAACUGAUGCGGUGAGGUGCCGAAGUGCUCCUGGAAUCUCGAACACACAAGUCCAUGUCAUGUACCCUCGGGAGUGCCUUGAGUACCUGGGAGAGAGCACUCGUGCUGGAGCUUACUUAUGGAGGAAGAUCCGUCUCAACAAUGAUGACGUUGCCUGGGUUCCUAGUGACUGGGUGGAAUUAAAGUUCAAGUUUUUCUCUUGCUGAGCUGAGACAGAAAAGCGAAGAUUUCAGCAGAGCGUCCACCCUUGGAUCUUCGCUCAGCCACCCUGGGCCUAUUCACGUCACGUGAUUACUUUAAUUUUGUGGGACCCAGCAUUUGGUUCGUUAGUUUUGUUGGAGCAUUUGGCUUAGAAAUGUGAUUGAAAUAAAUCCGUCUCGCAAGCAAG